CUUCUCGGUGGUCCUCCGACUUCAUAGACGAGAAACAAUGACCGAUGAUGGAGGAGUCGGGAGGUGUGCGACUGCAAACAGGAGGGAUAAGGUGGAGAGGUGUGGCGGCUGAAGAUGGUUCGCUCAGGUUAGGGUUUGCGGAACCUUAAUACCUACCUCCAUUCAAUAAGUUGCCAUAAAGACCAUAACAAUCCCUCCACACCCUUCUUCUUUCAAAGUGAACCCAUAAGUUACCAGUUGAAACCUGCCUCUUAAAUCCCUUACAAAUUAAGUCCAACUUUUUACAAGUAGCCCCUCCUCCUACAUUUAUUUUCAAAUCCAAAACUCACACUUUUAACCCCCAACUUAUAAACUUGUGACAAUUAGUUCCUCGAGACCAUCCUUUGAUAAUUAAUUAUUUAUUUUAGGGCUACCAUUUGUUCAGUAAUUAAAUUAUUUAUCUAAUAAAUAAACAGGGUGUUACAACUCUCCCCCACUUAAAUUAGAUUUCGUCAUCAAAAUCAUUCCUUGCUGUUCCUUACUCGCCCAACCAUUCUAGUAACUUGGUCACCAUCCUGGGCACACCCUAGUCUUCCCAGGGUAGUCGUGACCAAUCAUUGCGAAGCCCUAUAAUCCGCAUGUUAACAAAUUCCUUGCAACAAGAUCACAUGUACUCUAUUCGAAAUUUGUUUUCUCGAGAUGGUCUGAAUCGCUGACAGACCACUCAUACUAAAUCAUUAUCGUUGAAUCUAGUCUUUUUAUCCCUCAACUGACUACUCAACUUCUGAUAACCUAUGGUUCCCACUAGAAAACUGAAAUCACAAACCCGAUUAUCCCUGUAGGUCAUUUAAUAUGACCCAAGAAAUUUAUUAUUUCGUCUGAACUUGCAACCUAGAACACAAAUAUAAAUAUUGCCCAAACGUUGAAACUGACCGAACACUAGACUACCUGAAGCAGUUGUUGCCAUGUGGCUGCUUCUAAAUCUAGCAAGACCUGCUUGGUCUCAAUUCGUUCACCAAUCAUCUGAAAUAUCAGGUUCCACCCCGGCUGUCGGGCCAAAGGACUUCAUACUCAGUCACCUCACACGAAUUCUGAACGAAAUCCUUCUUUGGAACCAAUUGCCACUAGUUAUCAUGCCACUGCGACUCUAACAACUUUCGGAUAUAACCAAUCGGGUACAUGCAUUGAAUCUUUUAAUUAUCGAAUCCAAGACUAAAAGUGAUUGCUACCUGACCAAUGGUAGCCUUAUAUCACAAGUAAUCUUAUACGGUCCACUACUUCCCUGAUCCCAUAACUGUAGUGGCGCUCCUACAGUCUUAUCGUUGGCUCAACCAGAUCUAAUCCAUCUGAGAAUACCCAAAAACCAAUUCGUCAAUUUUCCACGUCCCCACUGCUGCACCCGAAAUGGUGGGUACUCAUGUUCCUUCCGUGUCCUAACAACGCACUCAUGAUAUCUACCAACCUAGCGAAUGCUACGGCUACACCCGCAAACUCACAACACUCUAGCACUAUCUGCUAACCCUUGUGAAUGCUACGGCUACACCCGCAGACUUACAACACUUUCCAUACUAUCUGAUCGCUAGUGAAUGCUACGGCUACCCCCGCAGUCUUACAACACUUUCCAUACUAUCUGAUAGCUAGUGAAUGCUAUGGCUACCCCCACAGUCUUACAACACUUUCUAUACUAUCUGAUCGCUACUGAAUGCAAUGGCUACCCCCGCAGUCUUACAACUCUUUCCAUAUUAUCUGAUCGCCAGUGAAUGCUACGGUUACCCCCGCAGUCUUACAACACUUUCCAUACUAGUCGAACAAGCACUCGACCUAACACACCACUAAACUUGAGUCCUAACUGGAACUCUAACCUGACUUCCGAAACCUGCUAUCUGAGAGUCUCGAAGGCUGUCUGCAGCUCAGGACCCCAACGAAAGGCCACCAAUUUCUUGUUCAAUCGUGUCAAAGGAACCGCAAUCUCUGAGAAGUCCUGUAUAAAUCUCUGGUAAUAACCCACUAGACCCAAGAAACUCCGAAUCUCAGAUGGAGACCUCAGAAUCUCCCACUGCAUCUCGGCCUCUAUCUUGGCCGGAUCGACUAGAAUACCCUUCUAAUUGACAAGGUGCCCAAGAGAUGGCACCCCGCGCAACCAGAACUCACAUUUGGAGGACUUUAUAAAAAGUGUCUCCCCCACUUAGAUUCAACUAAGUCUUCAUGGCACGCGAGAAUUGAAGGAUUCCUAAUCCUUCUCGCUUCCUAGUAUCCCCCUGAUGACAACCUGUGCUUACCAAUGCUAGCGAUUAAUCAUCAGUUAAACCUUAAGAUUGCCUAUACUCGGAAAUCUUGAUGAGUACUCUUGAAAUCUGGUCCGGUCUGACAUCUCAAUCCGCCUCCCAUGCUGACAACUAGAGGCUCUAAUCUUCACUCUAGCUGACGAGUCCUCGUUCCCACUUCCAAUCUUGCAGCACCACUGAACUCUAUCCGUACAUAGCCCAUGCGAAAGUACAAUUUCUUGAACAUCGGAUGACCAACCACUUAUGCAUCUAACACCCGCAACUGACAUCACCCUGUUCGUGCUACUAAUCCUGUCUUAGCAAUAGUAAUGCCUUGAACUCCAAAGUUCAUCCAUAGACAAAUUCAACCAUAUACGAACAAAUGAUAGAAUCACUGAAAUAUGACUUCAAAGGAGAACCAUCCCACUAAUUCCCGACCAAGGAUCUCCCAAAUAAUACUCCCGCACAAAUCUCGACAAAGAUCCAGAAUGAUAACGGUACACGCGGAACCUACUUCACAAGAUGCGUCCCUCUGUGGGUUCAUCAAUGACUUUUCGGCAUCCAGGAUGACAUAUAUGAUCCUUGAUAACCCAAACAUUAGCAAAAAACAAACCGAGAUCUAACUUAUCCAAACUCACUCAUAAUUAAAAAGUCAUACGUAUUCCCAACAUCCAUCUAAGAGCAGUAAAAGAUGAUAUACCCGCAUCAUCUGGAGGAAUACUGAUCACCUUUUCCAGAGAUAAUUAGACCAUCCUGACAACACGUUACAAAACUCUCUCCGGACCUGAUGACAGGAACUAACAAUAGGUUCCUCUUUCCUGAAGGCUUUUAAGAAUCCACAGACCUUGGAUUUUAGAUUGACCCCUAACUGUCUCGCGAUGAAUCUGGCCUGAAAGGUCCCUAGACAACUGUAUAGGCUCUCAAAUCCCUUCAUUGGCUGAAUGAAAGACCACUAAGGUCCAUUCCUAAAACUCCACAAGUAAUCUCCGAUGAGAUAAACUUCUAUGAUCUCGCCUCAACUGGUUCAGGCUCUGCUCCUGAGCCGAAACCAAAAUCUGAGUUUCAAUCUUGGGUGCUUAACACCCAAGAAUCCUUAUCACCUUUUGCAAACAAGACCAACCCUGCCACACCUGUAGCAGCCUAAACCCAUGGAGCGACAAACUCCCUUGUGCACCUUGCUAUACGUGGUGUACUGACUUCGACCCAACUGGCCUUUCACCUGAUGAUCAGAAAUCAUGGGUCUCUUCCCGGGACCCUCUACAUACGCACCUGGCACAACCCUCUCUUUCCAGGGUGCUCCAAAUCGAUCUCGCAUCCUCGGACUUAAAAUUCACAUCCUCCAGGGCCUAACACCCUGUCACGCUCACUGGCUCACUUGCCAAUGGCUAAGCUACAAUAGCUCGAACAUCCUCUAUCCCCAAACUGGGUCACAAACUCCUCCCUAAAGCUCCUCAGAUUCUCCAAGACGCUCAUCGAUUCCAGUAUGGAUCAUGUGCUUUCAGUAGUACGGGCCCAAUACUACCUUCCACACCUAUCCAUACUUUCCUCAGCAAUCCUCUCGAAUCCUCCAAGUCACUUCCUCAAACUUAUACACCCAGUCUCACUAAACUUCACUACUAACCCACUGAAACAUAUCCUAGGCUCUCCUAGGUUCCCAAACUCACACAAUCCUCAGCUGCUGAAAGAUUCCCAAUAAUGUUAAAUAGCUAUAUCAUGAAUAUAGCUAGCUCACAUUACUAAGAGUCCCACAAAGCACAGAGCAAGCAACAUUCAGACAAUGAAAAAUAUAACCAUCAUAUUCCAAUCAAACCAUUACAUCCUCUACUCAAGAGUCUGUACAUGAAAUUCAAAGAUUCAUACAAUCAGGCAUAACCUAAACAGGCUAUCCUAUCACUAACUGAUCAGUACUAGCAUGCAAGUCUACUGGCACAUACAAUAGGCAUAUAAGGCAUCCUCCUAGUUCCUCAGUCCCAAUCUAGCAUGCAGUUCUCAUAAUCAUAUCAUAACAUAACAUGUAUGGGUAUCUUAGGGAAAACUUACUUGAGCUCAGCUGAUUGCACGCAUCACUCACCUUGUUCUUUUCAAAGUUCUUUUCCCUUUUUAAACUUCUUUUUAUAAAAUGAUUUUUACUUUUGAAAAUUUUUAUACCAAGUUCUUAGUUUGAGUUCAAACACACCCGAGAGUGAACCCAAAUCCCUCAAACCAAAGCUCUGAUACCAACUUGUAACAACCCAAAAAUACAGGCCAAAAAUUUCAUUUUGAAAUACGUUAUUAUAAAACCAACAGUAUAAUAAAACAUCCAUAAUAUCAUGUCAUGUCAAAACCAAAGUAGAAAUAAUCAAAACAUGUUAUCAUAAAACAAUAUCAGAGUCUAAUCCCAAAGAUUUCAUGUGAGGAAACCAUAGUGUGAUGCGCUGCGAUCAAGCCGGCUCAUUUCCUUUGAAACUGAAGUACCUGAAACCAAAACUGAAAACUAUAAACACAAAGCUUAGUGAGUUCCCCCAUCAUACCACAUACCAUAUAAACACAUAAUGCCUAACAUAUCUGGGUGUUGGCCUCCCCUUCGGUAUCUUUCAACCGGUAACUGCCUAACUUAUCUGGGUGCUAGCCUCCCCUUCGGUAUCUUUCAACAGCAUAUUUGGGUGUUGGCCUCCUCUUCGGUAUCUUUCAACCAGUAACCGGGGACUAUUUCACCCCUUACCAUUACCACAUAAUAACAUAACACAUAUAUCAUAAACGGUCUAAUGUAAAUGGGUACUAACUACCCCUUCGGUCCUUUCGACCGGUACUGGGGUCUAACCAACCCCCUCCUACCACAUAACAUAUACCAUCAUAGCAUACUAGCACAUAAUCAUAACAGAUAGCAACAUACCAGAUAAUUAUCACAAAGAUAAUCAUCUAACAAACAACUCCUACUGGUGGGCCGACAUUGUGGCCGUAGAUCCACAUCUAUUGGAAGGUAACUCACCUCACACUGCUGAAGUCCCGCAGACUCAACCCCAUAUUGCUGAAGUUCCGCAGACUCAACCCCAGCUGCGGGAUGACAGAUUCCCGAACUGUCAACACCAAAAUAACACCCAAUUAAUAAUUGGGUCCCAACACAUAACCAUAAAUACAUACUUGGAUAAUUACUACAUUACUCCAAGGUUGGCUUUAUUCAAGCCCAAGGCCCAAUCCAUAGGCCCAAAGUCAACUAGGAAUCUAAGCCCAACAUAUAGCCCAACUUUCCAAAUUGGGCCCAAACCUUGGCAUGGUCUCAUUCUAAGGCCCAGCCAAAAGUCCAGUCCAUCAUUUGGUAUUUUUAAUGGCCCAAUAUCUCAUAAUCACAAAGGUCCAACCUAUGGCCCAUCUAUGGCCCAAUUUUCCAAAUUGGACCCAAACCCUCAUAUGGGUCUUGCCCUAAGCCCAUCAACGUAUUCUAGUCCAUAAGAUUAUUCUUGAAUGGCCCAUUAAUAAUCCAAUUACCAAAGCCCAAUGGAAAGGCCCAAUUAAAAAUUAGGGUUUCUUACAUGAAAUGAUGAUUAGGGUAGUGUUCCUACUUAACCCAUUAAGACCUUAACCCACUAGGGACUUAAGCCACUAAGGACUUAAUCCAUUAAGUCUAAUAUUGCUUAGAUUAGUUUCUGCCAAUGGUUAUUAUUUAAUAUUUCAAGUUAUUAAAUAAUUCCUGUAUGUGUCCCGAUAAAUUCUCUAAAUUAGAGUUUUAUUGGCAUUAGGGUUUUCCAAUCCAAAUACUAGCCCAUUUAUCGAUUUGUUGGGACUUUUGGUAAAUUAGGGCUUUAUUGGGCCUAUUAGGCCCACUAGAAUAUCAUUAAGCCCAUUAGGGUUUUAUUGGGUCAAUUAGGGUCCAUUAGGGCUUACAAGGCCCAUUAGAGUUUCAAGCACCCUAAAUGAAUCAAACUCAACGAGGCAAGCACACCGCCACCCAACACGGUGGUCGGUGGCGGCAGCCACCACCCUACGGUGGUAAGCUAGCUAACACACAUACUACCUAAGCUAAACAUACACACAUAUAUAAGUAUAUAACCACCUUGUGGUGGCUUGUGGUGGCGAUUGGUGGCAGUGGGGUCUUUCAUUGGGGUUUCCGGCCAAGCAUCAUUCCAACAGCCUCAUACCAACACCACAAUCACUUCUGGCUGUGAACAAGCCCAACCAUCCCUCCAGGUGGCGUAAAAUGAUGUCGACAGCGGCAGCACACGACAAACACGACUGCAAACGAAGAUAAUGGAGAGUUUCUGGCCGGGAAACGGUGGCAAUCCUUCACCAAAACCAUGACCAUAGUGACACAAUAACUCCCAGAAGCAGAACGAUGUUCACGACAUCUAGCGUUGCAAUGAACGAUAGGGAAGAGAGAGAGAGAGAGAGAGAGGAAAAAUGGUAGUGGGCGAAACAGCCGGCAGCAGCACCAACUAGCGACGACAAUAGCCCGAACGGCGGCAACAUCAACUACCCUGAUGGCGGCAGGGGCUUCUCAGUGGUCCUCCGACUUCACAGACGAGGAACAAUGACCGAUGAUGGAGGAGUUGGGAGGUGUGCGACCACAAACGAGAGGGAUAAAGUGGAGAGGUGUAGCGGCUGAAGUUGGUUCGCUCGGGUUAGGGUUUGUGGAACCUUAAUACCUGCCUCCAUUCAAUAAGUUGCCAUAAAGACCAUAACAGUCCCUCCAUACCAUUCUUCUUUCAAAGUGAACCCAUAAGGUACCAGUUGAACCCUGCCUCUUAAAUCCCUUACUAAUUAAGUCCAACUUUUACCAAGUAGCCCCUCCUCCUACAUUUAUUUUCAAAUGAAGUCAAUAAUUUACUAUUUAGUCCUUGCCUCCACAAAUAUUUACAAAAUCAAUCCGAAACUCACACUUUUAACCCCCAACUUCGAAACUUGUGACAAUUAGUUCCUCGAGACCAUCCUUUGAUAUAUAAUUAUUUAUUUUAGGGCUACCAUUUGUUCAGUAAUUAAUUUAUUUAUCUAAUAAAUAAACAGGGUGUUACAGAAUCAAUUCUUUUUAACAGUUGAAAUUUCUAUUUUUGUUUCAUUAUAUCACAUGUUCUUGUUUAUGUUUACUAGAAAAGAGGAAGAAAUAAGCCUCUUAGGUGAUGACAUUAAGAAGGAUGACUUUAGAGAGUGGUUUUAUAUGUCACCUUAACAAGCGAUUGACCACAUGGGGGUGGGAGAAAAUGAAAGUAGAUCUAUCAAGUACUAGUGUAGGGACUCGAAAUUUAAGUUGCCAAAAAAGUUCAAUUCAUUUUGCUUAUUAAUCUGUACGUAGAAGGAAAUUAAGAUGGAUUAUAGUUGUGUUGUUUUAGUAAAGCAAGUACUAGUGAAGGGACUGAAGAUGUAAAUCACACUACAAGAAUUAUAGCCUUUAGCCGCGACACUAUUACCGGCGACAUUGACUUUUAACGGAAACAAUUGCUAAAGUCGCCGCUAAAAGUCCCUGUUGCCGGUAAUAGUGUCGCCGCUAAAGGCUUAUCAUCCGAAUCCGUGUUUUCCUCCUCUGUUACAUCUCAGCCGUUCGAUUAAGUAUCUAAUCCAAUGGUUGGGGUCUCAUAUCCGCACAAACCUAAUAUCGGCGACAUUUUUUUCAUCGCUAAAAGUGUAAAAAGUCGUCGCUAAUAGUUACCUAAAAAUGACGCGGUACCCUUCCCUCCAUAUUGUUGCCGCUAUUGCCUAUUGUCGCCGUUAAAGCCCUAGUCGUCGCCAUUAAAGGGUCUCGCAGAUAAAAUAAAACACACGCAGUUUGCUUAUUUCUUCCCAAUUCCCUUCUGUUUGCUGCUACCGCCUCUUCCAAUUUCCACCGAAUUUGUGUUCAAUUAGCUGAUUCCAACAACAUAUCUUCCCAACAUUGUGUGUGAUUAGGGACCAAGGGUGGUUUGGGCUUAUUGGGACUGAUUUCUAGCUCCAUCUAUUGAAGAAAGUGUUUUUGGUGGUGUUGUGUUUGGGUUUACGAGUGAGGGUAUUUUUGGGUGAAGACUAAUUUUUCCGGCUACAUAUCCGUUGAUUUCCACCACUACAGGCUCUAUUAUUUCAAUUUUUUUUGAAUUUGGUAUUUAUAUAUGAAAAUUAUGUGAAAAUUGUCAUAUGUGAAAAUUGUGUGCAUAUUUGAUAUUUGUAUGAAUAUAUGUGAAUUUGGUGUA